GUUGUUUCCCCUAGAUCUGUUCUGACGAACAUGCAUAUGCAUCACACUAAUCUGCUUCAUCAUAAUUAUUAAAUCCAAGCAUGUAGGUACCGCUUAUGUACUGGAGCCUUGAUCUUAAUUUUUCUUCAUUGAUGUCCUUGGAGAAGAUGGCCAUUGGAGUGUAGGGGAGGAACAACCUUGUCUUGCUCAAGGAGGAGGACCACCCGAUCUCGACGACGGCACGGCAACAGGUAGCACUCGCCUCCCUCCCAAGGUGAAGGUCUGAUCCGCCUGUUUACAUGGUCUGCUCUUGUCUUAUGCAUGUGAGGGGAGAAGAAAGCCAUUGGACUGAAUUAUAUUUGCAUGUGAGGGGAGCGGUCUUUUUGGUAGAUGCAGAGUAUAGAUUCACAAAAUUCACCACAUGAGCGUACUACCUAUAUCCAAAUUCUGGAUAGCACUUGCAUCUUUUGUAUGUACACAUGAAAAAGCAUGACGGUUUGCUUCAGUUUGUAUGUGUCCAAUUGUUUUUUUACUUUGACUGAAACUAUCUAUCUUGGUGGCACUUGCAUCUCCUGUACAUACAUACAUAUGAAUCAGCACCACACUUCUCUUCAGUUUGUAUGUGUCAUUUUUUUUGGUUGAACUUUGACUGAAACCAACUGGAUGGCACCUCAAUUUGUACAUGCACAUGAAUCAAACACCACCUUGGUUUAGUUUUGUAUGUGUCCUUUUGUUUUUACUUUGACUAAAACCAACUCGAUGAAACUUGCAUCUUCUGUAUAUACAUAUGAGUCAGCACCACACUUCUCUUCAGUUUGUAUGUGUCAAUUUUUUGGUUGAACUUUGACUGAAACCAACUGGAUGGCACCUCAAUCUGUACAUGCACAUGAAUCAACACCACUUUCAUUUAGUUUUGUAUGUGUCAAUUUGUUUUUACUUUGACUAAAACCAACUCAAUGACACUUGCAUCUUCUGUAUAUACAUAUGAAUCAGCAGCACCACACUCUGGUUCAGUUUAUAUGCAUCAAUUUUUUGGUUUUACUUUGACUGAAAAUUUAUAUGAGUAAGUAUCAUCAGUCACAAUCAGAGACCAAUUUCUUUCUCUUUGGAGCUCAAUUUCUUUCUCUUUGGAGCUUGCCUUGAACAACUCAUGCUUGAUAGAUACAACCAAAACUGGAGCAUCUUCAUGAAAGGCAAUAAUUUUCUGCCUUUUUAGUUGGAUGCCCCUGUUCUAGGCGGGUUUCUUUUGGUAAAUUCAGUGUAUAGAUUACAUAUUCAUCCUCAUAUGUAGGAUCUUCGGUUUGUUAUACUGACUGUAUGCCACCUCCAUCGUGGCAGCCUUGUCUCCCCCACCAAUGCCCCUCGGCCUCCUCUAAUGCUGUUGUGGAGUCUUAGAAUGGGAAUGUUAUGUACAUAAAAAAUAUUCUAUGGUCUGUGUUUGCAAAUCCAUGGUUGUUGAAUCAUGUCUAUAUAAGCAUUUGUAAAUAGCUAGCCUUUUUGGCUAAUCUUUUUUUUCGUUCUGGUGAGCAA